UUGCUCACCCCUAGCUGCCACAGCUCCGAUCUGGGUUUAUCGCCACCAAACGGCAACUUCUUGCCAGCCUGGAGAAUCGCGUCUAUUGAUAGCAAUCGACGCUAUCUGCUUCUUUUCAUUCAGCUAUUAUUUCAAUUACUUAUAGAAAUUUUGGGGAUUCUGAUUUCUUCUUCUUUUUGUUCGUUUAGCUUGUAAUUGCUAGAAUGGAAAUGCUUGGUUGGGCUUCAUCAUGUCAAAAAGAAAGAAAUCACAGUCAAAUCAAAGAUAUGUGGGGAAGCCACUAUUGGGCAUUCGCGAUUCGGCGGUGUCGCCUCAGCUCAGUCUCAAUUUCUCAAAGCCUUCUCUGGCUUGGCUGCUUCGUUUCCCCGGCGAGCAGUCUCGACUAAACAGGGCAGUGAACCCUCUUCCAACAAGAGCUAAGUGCUUCACUGUUCUUUUGUUUUGUUGGAAUCAGUCAUGCUUCUUUUACUACUAUCAAAGUUGGUGUUGAUUUAACCAUUUGAGUGCUAACUUUAAUUGGCUAAGGCAUGGGCAUUGCAUUUAAAUAAUUAGGAUAUAAUUGUUGGGUGUCUAUUGAAUCUGUGUGAGAACCUGGUGUUGAGAUUUCAACUUUUGGGUCAAUUAUUGUGUGAUCCGAUCAUUAGCUAUUGUUCUACCUUGUACCUUAUCUUUGUUAUCUUGAUUCGAUGAAAUCAGUUUAUCUAACACUCUUAGAGCAAGAUUUUGGGAAAUACAAUAAGACUUUGAAUCAGGGAUGAAUAUCUCCACACGAAGAAGCUAAGUUAUCUCUGCUUUUCUCUUUAAAUUUAACCUACUUUGGAAUUGAUCGGGGAAAUUGGGUUAUGUUAUUCGGCUGCUAUCUUAGUGGGUAUUGGUGUAGCAUUUGUAUUGUUAUUCUUAUUUGGGAAAACUAGAUCGCAUAUGCCUUUGAUUGCCUUUGAAUUUGUAAAACACGUUUCGAACAUUGUUAAAAUGCUAAAUGGACUAUUGGCGAAUGUCGAGAUGAUUUCAUUCUGAUUUUGCUAUGAAUUUGGGUUAUUUCCGAACUAAUGCAACCAGAGACUUACACACUUAUGGUUUUCUCAGAGCCUGGAUGACUUCUUGAUGAGCAGGUGGUGGUCUUCAAGGGAAAUUGGAGCAUCAAGAGGGCAGCGCAGGCGGCAGUCUUCAAGGGAAAUUAGAGCAUUAAGAGGGCAGCGCAGGCGGUGGUCUUCAAGGAGAGGCUAAGAAUCUUGAACUCCAACGAUGAAGAUCGAAAGAGUGGACUAAAUACAAGAUUUCUUUGAGAAGCGCGGCCAUAUCUUUCUAUGUAAUUCCAGCGCAGGAUCAUUUUUCAAGAAAUAUCUGCAAAAAAGCCGAGUUGAUGUGGGAAAUGGGGGCUUGUUGAAUUUCUGAAUUAUAUGCUGCCUGCACAGGGUCAUUUUAUUAUUAUACGCAGGGUCAUUUUAUUAUUAUAAAUGCUGCCAGCGCAGGGUCAUUUUUUCAAGCUAUUAUAUCCCUCUAUAUAUGGCCAGCACAGGGUCAUUUUUCAAACUGUAGCACUGCUGCCAAUACUUUGUAUCAUAAUCUUACAUGAGACUUUCCUUUUGAAGAGGCUUGUUCUCAGCCAUACAAAAUUCUUAAUUUUGAUAUUACA